rnacentral:rRNA from 1 species
UACAGAGGUCUCAAGCGUUGUUCGGAUUCAUUGGGCGUAAAGGGUGCGUAGGCGGAGUUCUAAGUACCUUGUGAAAUCCCACGGCUCAACCGUGGAACUGCUUGGUAUACUGGUUCUCUUGAGCCACCUAGGGGCAACCGGAACAAACGGUGGAGCGGUGAAAUGCGUAGAUAUCGUUUGGAACGCCAAUGGUGAAAACAGGUUGCUGGGGGUGUGCUGACGCUGAGACACGAAAGCCAGGGGAGCAAACGGG